CCUACGGGAGGCAGCAGUGAGGAAUAUUGGUCAAUGGACGAGAGUCUGAACCAGCCAAGUAGCGUGAAGGAUGACUGCCCUAUGGGUUGUAAACUUCUUUUAUAAAGGAAUAAAACGAGGCACGUGUGCCUUUUUGCAUGUCCUUUAUGAAUCAGGAACGGCUAACUCCGUGCCAGCAGCAGCGGUAAUACGGAGGAUCCGGGCGUUAUCCGGAUUUAUUGGGUUUAAAGGGAGCGUAGAUGGGUUGUUAGGUCAGUUGUGAAAGUUGGGGGCUCAACCGUAAAAUUGCAAUUGAUACUGGCAGUCUUGAGUACAGUUGAGGUAGGCGGAAUUCGUAGUGUAGCGGUGAAAUGCUUAGAUAUCACGAAGAACCCCGAUUGCGAAGGCAGCUUACUAAACUGUGACUGACAUUGAUGCUCGAAAGUGUGGGUAGCAAACAGGAUUAGAUACCCGAGUAGUC
rnacentral:rRNA from 1 species